UUGUCCCACAACUAUUACCUCCCUCCAUUUCAUUUCACGCAAAACCCUCCCCACGAAAAUGCUCCUCGCCACACGUAACUAUCCUCUCCGUUCGCUUGCAGCCGGAUACUCAUUGCCGCAUGCAAAAAAACGCUUCUUGCCGUCGAAUCGCAGCCGGAAGUUCCUUGCCGCCGAAUCACAGUCGGACGCUCCUUCUCCUUCGAUUCUCGAUUUUCUUUGCAAGCCACACGCUAGUCACCUCUCUGACCAGCUCACGCUGCCAGCCUCUCCGACCUUCUACUCGUGUCGUUCUUUCUAGUUAGCCCUCGCACUGCCAUUAUUCUUAUCAAUAAGAAAACCCGGCAAAAUGGAAUGGACAACAAAAUAGAGUAGCUAGGAGAUUUAAAUACCAACAUGAAUCUUGAGCUUGGAAGUGGAAUUCUGAUUUUUGUUUCAAUUUCAAAUGAGCAUUCAGCUUCUGGAAGCUUAAUUGAGAAUGCAAUAUAAAUUGCACUUAAAGAAGCACGGGUGGCAAGAGGGUUCUUAAGCAAACUUCUACUGCUACAUCACCUAACUCAUGCUAUAGAUCUGGUGAACAAGGUCAUUUUGCUCUCAUGAGCGUGCAGGUUCCACCAAGGUUGUGUGAUCGGUUGAUUUGUUGGUUCAUAGAUUUGAAGAUGAUAAGCAUGUUUCUGGGUUAUUUAAGGAAUUGUGGGAAGAAAAUACUAGUGGUGGACGUAUUACUCUUCAAUUAUAUCUGGGAGAAAUUGUCUCUCUCAUAUGCAAUGAAGUUACAGCAUCGUCAUGGAGCAGUAAAAAGAAAUCUGCACAAGCAAUGUCCAAACUUUGUGAAGUUUUGAGGGAGUCCAUAUCUUCUUAUCAUCAAGGAAAAUAAACCAUCUUGGAUGCACUUGGUGCUAUUUCAACUGCUUGCCACAAAUUAAUUUCUACUACAAAUCCUACCAUGCCCAAUGCCAUUGUAAACCUGAUAUCUUCCUCUUGCUCCAAGAAAGCAAAGAAAUUUCGAGAAGUUGCUUUUGCUUGUCUUGAGAAGGUGUAUAUUGUUUCUAUUAAUAGAGGUCCCGACAUCUCAAAAGUAUUUCUUAUGUUCGUUCCUUUUUGGUUAUCACUUAGGGUGUGUUGUGUCAUCUACAGAUGUUAGAAAUUCUUAAGAUUUAGCUUGGAAAUCAAUUUAUAGGAAAUACAUAAUGAAGUGGAGACUUGUUUGUUUAGAUUUUAAUGCCCAAAAGGGCUGGUUAAUGUUCUAAGUAGUAUAAUAUGUGACUUUUUUUUAACAAAAUGUAUACUCGACUUUUUAUGUUCUACAGAUUGAUACGAGAAACUCAUACUCACAGCUUGAAUUGGAUGAAGUUUGAGUGGAGUGGGCUGAAUUUUAGCUCAGUAUAUAUGAUAGACACCUAGAUAUGAUCUUAAUUUUGUAAAUGGCUAACAUAUGAGAACGCCCAUAACCUUUUUUGUGUAAAUGUUUUAUUCAUAGCCAUUAUACUUAAAUACAUGAGGUAAUAGAUGCAAGGUAUACAA